CAGCAUGGUUUAGCAGUGUUAAGCCUCCAAUUUCUAUGAUUUUUCCCCCGGAAAAUUCUUCCAAAUACCGAGAAAAGCAGGGGGUGCAUUUUGCCCCGGGGGUGCAUAUUACCCCCUCUCCCCCUACAUGUUGUGACCAUUAAACAGACCAACAGACGUAAAUCACUUAACAAUAAUCAAAAAUCAUUCCUUACUAGAGCCAUCUAGUUGUGAACACGCGCACCGCCAGUUUCAGUCAGCUGUCAAACGUGCUGAGUUUCUAAAUGGUCGUGGUGAAUUUUCGAUCAAUCAAACUGAACGAUACAUUGAUGUAUUUCGAAAUAAAUUUACGUCUGUUUACUGUACUUCUCAAUACACAGACGUAAAUCAUUCCUCUUUAAAUCCACACAAUGCGUGUGGUGUAAAUUGGGCGGGUGAAUAUUGGUGCAUAAAAGCGGAACCAUUUUGUUGCGCGUAUUACCCAAAAAGACACGCGGCAUUCCAGCCUCGAAACGACGUGCCGCACUUUCGGCAAAUGCGCGCUGUCAAGUCCCAUACUGCGCGUUUUGUUUUUGUUCAUCUUCUUCUUCGAAUCGCUUGCCAUUGUUGCCAGGUACGCCACUAAAAGUGCCAAAAAUCGCUGGCAACAAUGUCUAUGGUACAUUCUGAAAUGCCGCGUGGCGUGUACCUUUGAAAGAAUAUUACAUUACUGUUCGCCAGAAAAAGCAAGUAUUGAAGUCGUUCUAUAACGUUGUAAGGAGACCAUCCAUAAACCACGUGGAUACUUUAGGGGGGGUCUAUUCGCCGUCGAGCCAUUUUUCCUCCAUUGAAUCCUCUUCUGGAUGGUCGUCUUCAUCAAUUGAUUCCACCCGGGAUGGAUACGGCUCUUUUUUUCUAAUAAAAAAAAUAUCGCAUUCGGGAGCUCUCGCUCACAUGUUGUUCCGAAUCGACUUCGCAGAACGCCACACACUUUCAACGCCGAUCUUCGUCUACCAGAAACUGGAAAAAUCCUCUUUAAAACGAUCGACGUUUGGUGUAUCUGUAAAACCUCGCAAAAUACUUCAUAUUGAAAGGUAUUCAAUCGCGAACUUGAAAAAAAACACGCGCACCAGAUUUCAAAACAGACGAUUGUUGUGCAAGAAAAAAGUCAUACUUGUGCUUGAACAACCUCGUACUUUCUUGAUGUAAACAAAGUGGGAUGAUUCGGAAAUCACGUUACGCAUUCUCUCUUUUUUCACCCAGAUCCAAUUCAUUCAAAUUUAGCGUUAAGAUAUUGAAUGAUGGUUUUGGAAAAAUAUUAUCGACCACAGACAAACAGAUGUAAAUCUUCGAGCAGCUUUAUCAAACAUUCAUCAAUUACCGCACACUACGGCCAUCUAGUUAUGAACGCGCGUACCGCACUCAAUCCUUGAUAGUGUGCGUGCAAACAGCUUCAGGCAACUGUCAAACGCAUGUAAACGAGCUGUGGUGAAUUUGGAAUGGCCGUGGUGAGUUUCAGAUCAUUCGAAUUGACCGUUGGAUUGCUUAUUGAAAGAUUUUAAAAGAGAGUAAAAAAACGAAAUAAAAGGGACAAAUAUAUAAGAGAUGCAAAUUUACAGAAGGUUAUAGUUUAAGCUCAAUUUUCAAUUUUGCAGUGAUAAUAUUGAAGAAUUGAAUAAAUUGGUAAGAUUUUUUUUAUAUUCAUCAAAUUUUGAUUCAACUUUAAGUUAAGUUAAAAAAAUUGGAAAAUUAAUAAUAAAGAAAUCACUUAAACAUGUUUAAACAUUCGGAAUUGAAAAAUAUUCAACGAAAUUUAGAAGAAAAAAAGGUGUUGGAGAAUUAAACAAGUUGUUAAGGUAAUAACAAAAUUUUGAAGCAAAGGUCUUUAUCAUGAACUUCAGUAUGGCCUUAAAAUCGAAAUGAAUAUCAGAAUAAUAAGCUUGUUUCUUAUACUUUUUAUUUUAUUCAUGAACAUCGUUUGCUUACGCUUUACCUUGCUUUUAUCAUUUUUAGUCUUUCCAAACAAACCACAACUCGAACCAGGUUCGAAAGAAAAAACACUUUUCAAAAAUUAACAUGUUGAAGACUGUAUUUUUUGUGUCUCCAUUUCGGCUGUUUAUUACCUGUUGUAGAAGGCACUAGACAAGUCAACCUGGUAUAAGAACACCUUACUCUACACAUUUGAACAUUAUUAGAAGGGCAAACAUUUACAACAGCAACAAAAGAAGGAAGAAUGAAAUCAAACCAGUAUCAAUUGAACAAGCGAAACUCGGGCGCGUUCUUAGUAGAAACCGUAAAUGCUAAUAGAGACAACAAAAAAAAAAGCAGUAAAGAACACACUCACAGAGUCACGUAAAUUAAACCAAACAACAAUUUUAGAGGUGAUAUAAAAGUAAAACACAAUUUUAGAAGCGUUGCGAUUACACGGAGAGCAAAACAAAACAAAAACAAGUAAAAUACUUAAUCUAAAUGUGUUAGGUGCAAAUAAUGCAACACUCUAAAGGUGAACAAACAAAAACUGAUUAUUUACUAUAUAAUUAAUUACGAAUAUCUCUCUUUCGCCAAUAUAUAAGAUGCCCUUGCUCAAGUGCGGAUUAUAUAUUCGAAAGAAGACACAGACACACUCAUGAAAUUAACAUAAUUUUAUUACAGGUUAUUUUAAAGAGGAGGAAAGGUGGAAAGAAAACAAAAAAAGAGGGUAAGAAGUGCGUGGCGAGAAGUGUGAGGACAGGGACGUGUUAGGAAAUAACCGAAAAUUUAGUCGUAAGCAAAAACAAGUACUUUUUCAGGUAAAACUAACUAAGUGUAUCUGUUAAUAAAGUUAAUGAAAGUUAUCAUAUAACGAUCAGCAAAUUGCAAACAAAAAAAAACAAAACAAAUAAAAAGUAGUUUAAUCCUAAGAACAAAACUCAAAACAAGACAAAUUCUUAAACACCAAAGCGUUGAUCAAAGAAAGACUUUAGCGGGAGUAACAAACAAAACAAAAAAAAACAAAAGUAACACAAAACCAAACACGAAAGGACAAUGGCAAGAACGAACAAUCAAAAAAACAACAACAGAAGACAAAGUUUGAAAGAAAGCAAAAGGUGGAGAAUUGGAAGGAAGGCAGCGCAAGAAAGUUUUUCUUCGAACAAAACACUUGUGGUGUUUUGGGAAAAUAUAGCUCAUUUACUGUGAAAAUCAAAUUUGACAAGUACUUAUAAAGACAACAUAUAGUUAAUAAAAAAAACAUUUAUAGUUAAACAGAAGCAAGACAAAGAGAGAUAACAAACAUUUACACUGGUUAAGAGAUCUUGGGUUGCUGUCGGAUCCCCCCCAACUGUUUUGAUUUUAAUAAAUAAGAUUUUUUGUUUUGAUUUUACACCAAAAAAAGCCAACAGUUGAAACAUCGCCCCCAAAAGUAUUACCUUUCAGUUAAUUUUCAACCGGAAAUUUUUACUUUACACCAAUUAAACCUAGCAGGUAAGGAUUUAGGGACAUCUUAGACUUAAAAAUCUUAGAUUGUAGAUAAAACUAAUAAAAAACUGGAUGUUUAAAAGUCAUCUUAGCGCAGUCAAACUUAGCUCGUAAGGCAUCGUUUGUUCGAACUUGAAGAACUUUCAACACAUACAUAAGGGCAGUGAAAGCACAUUCACACUAUAAGCGUGCAAGGGAAGGAAGAGUUUUAAACUACAAAUAUUAUCGAACUUCUAAACUACUUGAAGAGGUGCAGUGAGAAAGUUUUAAGAAAAAAAACCUUCAAACAAGCAAUAAUGGACAAAAAAACUUAACUGACGAAAUUUGAAAGCGAAAUAAUUGGAAUACAAUCUAAAUAAGAAAAUGAGUGAAAUUUGGAAACAAAAUAAAAAACUAAAAAAAAGAAAACUCAAUGUUUUAAUACUUUUUUUUAAUUCUGACGAUUGAUAAUUUGAUGGGUGGCAUGAGAUGGAAACUUUGAACAUUUUAUUUUCUCUGGAAUCUCUGGAAUAAAAGUAUUCGCUAACAUUUUCCAAUACAAGCAAUUUUUUAAUUCAAAAAUAACAUGAAAAAAUAUUUUUCCCAUUUUGGUCUGUUUUGCAGUUUGUUAACAAUUAGGUUUUACGCCGUCGCGGCUAACCUCAAUCGUGAAUUUCUGUUUGACAGCUCGCGUGCACUGUUUACAUAGACUUAGUCGCGUUCGAACGGAAAGUGCUGGGUAUUUUUUUAUUCAAAAUCGGCUGAAAUUACAAAAGUCAAGUGGAAACCGAAGGCGAAGUGGGCGGCAAACUUGUCUACAUGCUCGCUGAACCCGAACGAAAACGAAGCCGUGCUGCUGACGGAGAUGGUCAGGCAAUGCCUUGUUCCGACGCUCUGCCUGGAAUGACCGAUCACCAAGGACAUGCAAGUCCCAGAAAACUACCGCACAGUCUUCCGACCGCUUAUGCUCCAGCUCCAGCUCCCGAGGACAUGGUCAAGUUCAAUCUCGAGCACUGCAACCUCGCCCUCCUCCACCAGCAGAACACCGGCAGACUCUUCAUCGUCCUGUUUGAGUAGAAAAAAAAGCUGCUCUCGGAGGUUUUCCGUUGUCGAUUCUUGACGUGGGCCUGACGGAAAAGGACAGUUUGUCCUUGGUUCAAAUUAGUACGAACUGGUAGUUCGGUUCAACAAACAACUGGUCUCCGGCACCUGGCAACGAGGGUGCUUCAAUCUACAACUAGAGACGUGAUCCUGGUUUCGAGUUUAAUUGAUGGACAGUGGAAUUUUAAAAUCCUGUUUGGCUUUUAUUUUAAUCAGACGUUAUUAUUUCUGACAUAUAAAAUCAAACUUGUUUUUUA
rnacentral:lncRNA from 1 species